AUGAGUGACGAGAAGCUGCUGUGUCCUUUGUGUCCCUCCCGCCCCUUUCCCCUGUUUCCUCCUGCUUUCUGCUUGUAACAAGCAUUUGGAUAAAGAGGCAAGUUGAAGAAGGAAGAAGUUCCAAGGAUGUUGAGCUUCGGUCGGAGCAGCGUGGCCAGCGAGCUCUCACAGGGCGCAUGCGCAAGAGGGAACGGCAGGGGUGGUGCCUGCAGAAGAAGCAGCACGUGCAGCCCUGCGACACAUAAAAAGGCGGGAGCCACUGUCACUCACGCCGUAUUCUCUCCUGUCCCCGAGGUCAGACCAGUGCAGGUCGCGUGCGCCACCACAGAGAUUCCCAGUCGCACACAUCCAGCUAGAGCAGCCUGGAAAAUGAACUCUUAGGAAACAACGAAAAUUGUGAGGGCAGUAACUCCAGACCUUUCUUUUAUGUGUACCCC